rnacentral:rRNA from 1 species
AUGCAAGUCGAGCGGAAAGGCCCUUCGGGGUACUCGAGCGGCGAACGGGUGAGUAACACGUGAGCAACCUGCCCUAGGCUUUGGGAUAACCCCGGGAAACCGGGGCUAAUACCGAAUAUGACCUCCGGACGCAUGUUUGGUGGUGGAAAGUUUUUCGGCCUGGGAUGGGCUCGCGGCCUAUCAGCUUGUUGGUGGGGUGAUGGCCUACCAAGGCGACGACGGGUAGCCGGCCUGAGAGGGCGACCGGCCACACUGGGACUGAGACACGGCCCAGACUCCUACGGGAGGCAGCAGUGGGGAAUAUUGCACAAUGGGCGGAAGCCUGAUGCAGCGACGCCGCGUGAGGGAUGACGGCCUUCGGGUUGUAAACCUCUUUCAGCAGGGACGAAGCGUAAGUGACGGUACCUGCAGAAGAAGCACCGGCCAACUACGUGCCAGCAGCCGCGGUAAGACGUAGGGUGCGAGCGUUGUCCGGAUUUAUUGGGCGUAAAGAGCUCGUAGGCGGCUUGUCGCGUCGACUGUGAAAACCCACAGCUCAACUGUGGGCCUGCAGUCGAUACGGGCAGGCUAGAGUUCGGUAGGGGAGACUGGAAUUCCUGGUGUAGCGGUGAAAUGCGCAGAUAUCAGGAGGAACACCGGUGGCGAAGGCGGGUCUCUGGGCCGAUACUGACGCUGAGGAGCGAAAGCGUGGGGAGCGAACAGGAUUAGAUACCCUGGUAGUCCACGCUGUAAACGUUGGGCGCUAGGUGUGGGGGGGCCUCUCCGG